rfam:Rhodanobacter sp. C06 NODE_4_length_182054_cov_10.3245_ID_7, whole genome shotgun sequence.
CGACGUCUUCAGGGCGGGGCGGAAUUCCCCACCGGCGGUAGGCCUUUCGAGGCGAGCCCGCGAGCGCCUUCGCCACAUGGCGAAGGGUCAGCAGAUCCGGUCGAACGCCGGAGCCGACGGUCAGGUCAACCCGGUUUGCCGGGGCGGCUCACAGUCCGGAUGAAAGAAGACGGUU